rnacentral:piRNA from 1 species
UGGGCGAUGGAAACUAAUUCG